UCGGGAAUUUUGGGCAAUGGGCGAAAGCCUGACCCAGCAACGCCGCGUGAAGGAUGAAGUAUUUCGGUAUGUAAACUUCGAAAGAAUAGGAAGAAUAAAUGACGGUACUAUUUAUAAGGUCCGGCUAACUACGUGCCAGCAGCCGCGGUAAUACGAAGGGAGCUAGCGUUGUUCGGAAUCACUGGGCGUAAAGCGCACGUAGGCGGAUAGUUAAGUCAGGGGUGAAAUCCUGGGGCUCAACCCCAGAACUGCCUUUGAUACUGGCUGUCUCGAGGUCGAGAGAGGUUGGUGGAAUUCCUAGUGUAGAGGUGAAAUUCGUAGAUAUUAGGAAGAACACCAGUGGCGAAGGCGGCCAACUGGCUCGAUACUGACGCUGAGGUGCGAAAGCGUGGGGAGCAAACAGGAUUAGAUACCCUCGUAGUCCCUGAGCGGGCUGGCAAGGCGC
rnacentral:rRNA from 1 species